rnacentral:tRNA from 1 species
GCAGUGGUUCAGUGGAAGAACCUUCUGCUUGGCAUGCAAGAACAUCCUAGGUUCAAUCCCCUCAGCAUCUCCA